ACAGGAUCCCGGAAGAGAUGUCCGGGUGGCUCUUCCGGCCGCUGACCCGCCGGAUCAUG
rnacentral:ncRNA from 1 species